rnacentral:rRNA from 1 species
GACGAACGCUGGCGGCGUGCCUAAUACAUGCAAGUAGAACGCUGAAGGAGGAGCUUGCUUCUCUGGAUGAGUUGCGAACGGGUGAGUAACGCGUAGGUAACCUGCCUGGUAACGGGGGAUAACUAUUGGAAACGAUAGCUAAUACCGCAUAAGAGUAGAUGUUGCAUGACAUUUGCUUAAAAGGUGCAAUUGCAUCACUACCAGAUGGACCUGCGUUGUAUUAGCUAGUUGGUGAGGUAACGGCUCACCAAGGCAACGAUACAUAGCCGACCUGAGAGGGUGAUCGGCCACACUGGGACUGAGACACGGCCCAGACUGCUACGGGAGGCAGCAGUAGGGAAUCUUCGGCAAUGGACGGAAGUCUGAGCGAGCAACGCCGAGUGAGUGAAGAAGGUUUUCGGAUCGUAAAGCUCUGUUGUAAGAGAAGAACGAGUGUGAGAGUGGAAAGUUCACACUGUGACGGUAUCUUACCAGAAAGGGACGGCUAACUACGUG